UGGGGAAUUUUGGACAAUGGGGGCAACCCUGAUCCAGCCAUGCCGCGUGAGUGAAGAAGGCCUUCGGGUUGUAAACUGCUUUUGUACGGAACGAAAAGACUCCUUCUAAUAAAGGGGGUUCAUGACGGUACCGUAAGAAUAAGCACCGGCUAACUACGUGCCAGCAGCCGCGGUAAU
rnacentral:rRNA from 1 species